rnacentral:rRNA from 1 species
CCUACGGGAGGCAGCAGUGAGGAAUAUUGGUCAAUGGCCGGAAGGCUGAACCAGCCAAGCCGCGUGAAGGACGAAGGUGCCAAGCAUUGUAAACUUCUUUUGUCAAGGGACAAAAUCAGGCUCAAGAGCCUGACCGAGGGUACUUGAAGAAAAAGCAUCGGCUAACUCCGUGCCAGCAGCCGCGGUAAUACGGAGGAUGCGAGCGUUAUCCGGAUUUAUUGGGUUUAAAGGGAGCGUAGACGGCGAAGAAAGUCUGAAGUGAAAGCCCGCGGCUCAACCGCGGAACUGCUUUGGAAACUUUUUUG